rnacentral:rRNA from 1 species
AACGCUGAAGAGAGGAGCUUGCUCUUCUUGGAUGAGUUGCGAACGGGUGAGUAACGCGUAGGUAACCUGCCUUGUAGCGGGGGAUAACUAUUGGAAACGAUAGCUAAUACCGCAUAACAAUGGAUGACACAUGUCAUUUAUUUGAAAGGAGCAAUUGCUCCACUACAAGAUGGACCUGCGUUGUAUUAGCUAGUAGGUGAGGUAAUGGCUCACCUAGGCGACGAUACAUAGCCGACCUGAGAGGGUGAUCGGCCACACUGGGACUGAGACACGGCCCAGACUCCUACGGGAGGCAGCAGUAGGGAAUCUUCGGCAAUGGGGGCAACCCUGACCGAGCAACGCCGCGUGAGUGAAGAAGGUUUUCGGAUCGUAAAGCUCUGUUGUAAGUCAAGAACGGGUGUGAGAGCGGAAAGUUCACACUGUGACGGUAGCUUACCAGAAAGGGACGGCUAACUACGUGCCAGCAGCCGCGGUAAUACGUAGGUCCCGAGCGUUGUCCGGAUUUAUUGGGCGUAAAGCGAGCGCAGGCGGUUUGAUAAGUCUGAAGUUAAAGGCUGUGGCUCAACCAUAGUUCGCUUUGGAAACUGUCAAACUUGAGUGCAGAAGGGGAGAGUGGAAUUCCAUGUGUAGCGGUGAAAUGCGUAGAUAUAUGGAGGAACACCGGUGGCGAAAGCGGCUCUCUGGUCUGUAACUGACGCUGAG